CAGUCUGGAGGGGCUCAUUCCCCCCUCCCACUUUGUGCUGCGCCCCAGGUGAGGCUCCCAGUGCUCCCAGUGACCUCUCAGUAACUCCCAGUGACCUCCCAGUGAACCUCCCAGUGCUCUGAGUAACCUCCCAGUAACCCCCAAUAACCUCCCAGUAACCUCCCAGUAAUCCCAGUUCACCCUGCCAGUGCUCCCAGUAACCCCCUGUGACCUCUCAGUAACUCCCAGUUCCCCCUCCCAGUGCUCCCAGUAACCCCAGUCCCCCUCACAGGUCCCUGGGGGCGGAGCUUGAGGCAGAAAGGGGGCGUGUCCAUGAAUUGGAGGUGGAGCUGAAAGCACUGAAGGGGCGGAGCCAGCACCUGGGGGCGGAGCUUGAGGCAGAAAAGAGUCGGAGCCAUCGGCUGGAGGCGGAGCUUGAAGCAGAAAAGGGGCGGAGCCAACAGCUGGAGGCAGAACUUAAGACAGAAAGGGGGCGGAGCCAAGCACUGAGGGUGGAACUCGAUGCCCUGAGGGGGCGUGGCCAGCGAUUGGAGGCAGAGCUGGAUGCAGAAAAGGGGCGGAGCCAAAUCCUGGAGAUGGAGCUGGAGACCCUCAGGGGGCGGGGCCUCGGUCCAGAGGGGGCGGAGCCAAGCCCAGAGCAGGUGCUGCUGGGCCGCUGGCGCCAGAAGGUUUUCCAGCUGCUGCUGCAGGUGAGCCUGCAACGGGGCCAGGAGCUGCGGCUGCAGGGACAGGUGCGCUCUCUGGGUGCUGCAGUGGCCGCCGGGUCCCGCCAGGUGUCGCUGUUGGAGCUGCGGCUGCGCCGGGGGGAGCAGGAGAGACAGGCCCUGUCCCAGGAGCGGCUCCGGGCGGAGGCGGCCGAGGAGGAACUGGG
rnacentral:lncRNA from 1 species